UUGAACGCUGGCGGCAGGCCUAACACAUGCAAGUCGAGCGGUAGCACAGAGAGCUUGCUCUCGGGUGACGAGCGGCGGACGGGUGAGUAAUGUCUGGGAAACUGCCUGAUGGAGGGGGAUAACUACUGGAAACGGUAGCUAAUACCGCAUAACGUCGCAAGACCAAAGUGGGGGACCUUCGGGCCUCAUGCCAUCAGAUGUGCCCAGAUGGGAUUAGCUAGUAGGUGGGGUAACGGCUCACCUAGGCGACGAUCCCUAGCUGGUCUGAGAGGAUGACCAGCCACACUGGAACUGAGACACGGUCCAGACUCCUACGGGAGGCAGCAGUGGGGAAUAUUGCACAAUGGGCGCAAGCCUGAUGCAGCCAUGCCGCGUGUGUGAAGAAGGCCUUCGGGUUGUAAAGCACUUUCAGCGGGGAGGAAGGCGAUAAGGUUAAUAACCUUGUCGAUUGACGUUACCCGCAGAAGAAGCACCGGCUAACUCCGUGCCAGCAGCCGCGGUAAUACGGAGGGUGCAAGCGUUAAUCGGAAUUACUGGGCGUAAAGCGCACGCAGGCGGUCUGUCAAGUCGGAUGUGAAAUCCCCGGGCUCAACCUGGGAACUGCAUUCGAAACUGGCAGGCUAGAGUCUUGUAGAGGGGGGUAGAAUUCCAGGUGUAGCGGUGAAAUGCGUAGAGAUCUGGAGGAAUACCGGUGGCGAAGGCGGCCCCCUGGACAAAGACUGACGCUCAGGUGCGAAAGCGUGGGGAGCAAACAGGAUUAGAUACCCUGGUAGUCCACGCCGUAAACGAUGUCGAUUUGGAGGUUGUGCCCUUGAGGCGUGGCUUCCGGAGCUAACGCGUUAAAUCGACCGCCUGGGGAGUACGGCCGCAAGGUUAAAACUCAAAUGAAUUGACGGGGGCUCGCACAAGCGGUGGAGCAUGUGGUUUAAUUCGAUGCAACGCGAGGAACCUUACCUGGUCUUGACAUCCACAGAACUUUCCAGAGAUGGAUUGGUGCCUUCGGGAACUGUGAGACAGGUGCUGCAUGGCUGUCGUCAGCUCGUGUUGUGAAAUGUUGGGUUAAGUCCCGCAACGAGCGCAACCCUUAUCCUUUGUUGCCAGCGGUUAGGCCGGGAACUCAAAGGAGACUGCCAGUGAUAAACUGGAGGAAGGUGGGGAUGACGUCAAGUCAUCAUGGCCCUUACGACCAGGGCUACACACGUGCUACAAUGGCAUAUACAAAGAGAAGCGACCUCGCGAGAGCAAGCGGACCUCAUAAAGUAUGUCGUAGUCCGGAUUGGAGUCUGCAACUCGACUCCAUGAAGUCGGAAUCGCUAGUAAUCGUAGAUCAGAAUGCUACGGUGAAUACGUUCCCGGGCCUUGUACACACCGCCCGUCACACCAUGGGAGUGGGUUGCAAAAGAAGUAGGUAGCUUAACCUUCGGGAGGGCGCUUACCACUUUGUGAUUCAUGACUGGGGUG
rnacentral:rRNA from 1 species